GACGUAGGGCGCGAGCGUUGUCCGGAUUUACUGGGCGUAAAGCGCACGUAGGCGGCUUUCUAAGUCGGGGGUGAAAUCCUGGAGCUCAACUCCAGAACUGCCUUCGAUACUGGAGAGCUUGAGUCCGGGAGAGGUGAGUGGAACUGCGAGUGUAGAGGUGAAAUUCGGUAGAAUAUUUCGCAAGAACACCAGUCGGCGAAA
rnacentral:rRNA from 1 species